GACGAACGCUGGCGGCGUGCUUAACACAUGCAAGUCGAACGGAAAGGCCCUGCUUUUGUGGGGUGCUCGAGUGGCGAACGGGUGAGUAACACGUGAGUAACCUGCCCUUGACUUUGGGAUAACUUCAGGAAACUGGGGCUAAUACCGGAUAGGAGCUCCUGCUGCAUGGUGGGGGUUGGAAAGUUUCGGCGGUUGGGGAUGGACUCGCGGCUUAUCAGGUUGUUGGUGGGGUAGUGACUUACCAAGGCUUUGACGGGUAGCCGGCCUGAGAGGGUGACCGGCCACAUUGGGACUGAGAUACGGCCCAGACUCCUACGGGAGGCAGCAGUGGGGAAUAUUGCACAAUGGGCGGAAGCCUGAUGCAGCAACGCAGCGUGCGGGAUGACGGCCUUCGGGUUGUAAACCGCUUUCGCCUGUGACGAAGCGUGAGUGACGGUAAUGGGUAAAGAAGCACCGGCUAACUACGUG
rnacentral:rRNA from 1 species